rnacentral:rRNA from 1 species
AUUGAACGCUGGCGGCAUGCCUUACACAUGCAAGUCGAACGGCAGCACGGGGCAACCUGGUGGCGAGUGGCGAACGGGUGAGUAAUGCAUCGGAACGUGCCAUUGAGUGGGGGAUAACGUAGCGAAAGUUGCGCUAAUACCGCAUAUUCUGUGAGCAGGAAAGCAGGGGACCGCAAGGCCUUGCGCUCUUUGAGCGGCCGAUGUCAGAUUAGCUAGUUGGUGAGGUAAAGGCUUACCAAGGCGACGAUCUGUAGCGGGUCUGAGAGGAUGAUCCGCCACACUGGAACUGAGACACGGUCCAGACUCCUACGGGAGGCAGCAGUGGGGAAUUUUGGACAAUGGGCGCAAGCCUGAUCCAGCCAUGCCGCGUGAGUGAAGAAGGCCUC